GCAGUCGAGCGAUCGAUGGGAGCUUGCUCCCUGAGAUUAGCGGCGGACGGGUGAGUAACACGUGGGCAACCUGCCUAUAAGACUGGGAUAACUUCGGGAAACCGGAGCUAAUACCGGAUACGUUCUUUUCUCGCAUGAGAGAAGAUGGAAAGACGGUUUACGCUGUCACUUAUAGAUGGGCCCGCGGCGCAUUAGCUAGUUGGUGAGGUAAUGGCUCACCAAGGCGACGAUGCGUAGCCGACCUGAGAGGGUGAUCGGCCACACUGGGACUGAGACACGGCCCAGACUCCUACGGGAGGCAGCAGUAGGGAAUCUUCCGCAAUGGACGAAAGUCUGACGGAGCAACGCCGCGUGAACGAAGAAGGCCUUCGGGUCGUAAAGUUCUGUUGUUAGGGAAGAACAAGUACCAGAGUAACUGCUGGUACCUUGACGGUACCUAACCAGAAAGCCACGGCUAACUACGUGCCAGCAGCCGCGGUAAUACGUAGGUGGCAAGCGUUGUCCGGAAUUAUUGGGCGUAAAGCGCGCGCAGGUGGUUCCUUAAGUCUGAUGUGAAAGCCCACGGCUCAACCGUGGAGGGUCAUUGGAAACUGGGGAACUUGAGUGCAGAAGAGGAAAGUGGAAUUCCAAGUGUAGCGGUGAAAUGCGUAGAGAUUU
rnacentral:rRNA from 1 species